AUGUCACAACAUUCAGAGGAUGAGCCAAUUGUGCGCGUCAGGAGACAGACAGUCCUUCCCGCACGUUAUGAUGAGUAUGAUCUCACUGGAUUCACCCUCCCUAAGCCUGUUACACAACCCAUGUCACCACUCAUCCAUUCAACCAGACUGGCUGGAGGCGACGAAGCAGAGGAAGGCGCAACUCGCUUUACUCCAUUGUUACCAGGUUAUGAAGUAGACAAUCCGCUACAGUGGUCUGGCGACGAGCAUGAAUCUGCAUCAGACAUCAUAAGGAGAGAGAAUAAGGAUCUCCGCAUAGCCCUGCAAAUAAUACAGCAGGAAAGAAACACAUUCCAGAACGCAAAUGACCAAUACGUAAAGGAGCUUUCUCAGCUCAAGCAACAGAUGAAGCAGCUACAAAUUCAGAUGGAUCAACAAUGUCCAGGAAAUCAGCCACCUUCACCUGUUGCCCCUCCAAGGCAGCAUAGCUCCAGUCAUCCUAUACCUGCACCACGUGUCCAGCCACAGGCACGUUCUGUGGAAAUGAGUAUCAAACCUGUACCAGCUCAACGCCACAGACUACAAAUGGAGCAUCAGACUGAGAACAAAUUUCGAAGCCCAAAUCCAGUAUCCACCCCCUUUACCAAACUGAGUUCCUCCUACCAUUAUAUGCCACAAACGGGUCAGAGAUCUGACGUGCACUAUUCCCAUAGACAGGACCCUUCCAAUUCGCCAUAUAGGGACUCUCAAGACACUGCCAGGCAUCCACAAAUACUAUGCCGGUCACUUACUCCAUCACCUCCGCCUGAGCAAGAAUUGAUGUAUCGAGGUCCAACUCCUACGAUCCCUGACUUCAUACACCCCAACCCAAGAGAGUUCUCAAGGCUGAAAAUUGCUCUGGAGAAUGUCCUCCCAGCUAAUGCGACGGAAAGGUUCAAAUUUCAGAUACUGACGGACCAUCUGAAGUUAGAGGAGGCUUUGCUAAUCGCUGACUCAUACUGCCAUUCUCAACAUCCUUACACAAGGACAAUGGCUGCUUUAGACCAACAGUAUGGCCAGCCACAUCAACUGGCUCUCCAGCGCAUUGCAGAGUUAAUGGAUGGCCCAAGUAUAGCUAGUGGAGAUCAGAAGGCUUUUCGUCUUUUUGCUCUUAAAGUCCGUUCCCUGGUGGGCAUGCUGGAGCAAUUAGGCAGGAAGGGCACUUUCGAGUUACAGUGUGGUUCUCAUGUGUCUCGGCUGCUUGGGAAGCUUCCCCACGACCUGAGAUCAGGGUUUCGGAGGUUUGCGCAUCCACAUCGUGUACCCAUCCCUACUCUUCUGGAUCUUGCAGAAUGGCUGGAGUUUGAAAUUGAAGUUCAAGAGGACACUACAAGGUUUGUAAGCAAUCAGCGCAAAGGGCCCUCGACACGAACAAAAGAGACUUUCAGAGACCCUAAGCCAGCCACUAAAAGCACCACAAUUUUUCUGGGUACUGAGAAGGCGAUUCCUGAGUCUACACCAUUUACUCCACCAUCUAGGAGUUCUCUGAGACCCUACUGCCCCUACUGUGACAACAGUAAGCACUCCCUCAAUAACUGCAGCAACUUCAAACAGCUUACUAAGGAUCAAAAACGAGGCUGGGUCAAAGACAACAAUAGAUGCUGGCGUUGUGGCAGAACUCAUAAGUCUGCAGAAUGUAACCUGAAGAUGCGCUGCAGACAGUGCAGCAGUCGACACCUUAUGGCUCUGCAUGACAUCAGUGCUGGGAAGCCAGAAAAUCCAAGGCUUGUUCAGGAUGAAACUGUUGAUACCAACAGCUGUCUAUUCAAUACCAUGAAUGAGAUUCUCCUGAUUCAUAAACCGCCUACCAGCAGGAAGGUUCUACUUAAAAUCAGCAAAGUGAUUCUCAGAAAUGGCAAGAGAAGGUUAAAUGCAUACGCAAUCCAGGAUGAUGGAUCAGAGAGAACUAUCCUCCUCCAUAGUGCAGCUCAGCAGUUGGGGCUCAGAGGUCAGCCUGAAGAUCUCCCACUCAGAACAAUCAGGCAGGAGCUACAAGUUCUCAGAGGAGCAGCAGUCUCAUUUGUGAUCUCACCAAUUGCUCAGCCGACUAAAAGGUAUCACAUCAAAGGUGCUUUCACUGCUCAACAGCUAAGCUUAGCAGAACAUUCACACCCAGUGAACACUCUGAGGGAGAGAUAUCAGCACCUUAAAGGACUUCCACUGCAUGACUUUGAAGCGGUCUGUCCUGUAUUGCUCAUUGGGUCGGAUUAUCCCCAUCUAAUCACUCCUGUGGAACCAGUUAGGCUAGGGCCUCCAGGGGGACCAGCUGCCAUAAAGACACGUCUUGGCUGGACAUUACAGGGUCCAAUCCAACACUUACGGAAGGACAUUACUGAACAACACUGUCUCUUCACUUCAGUCUCGUUCCCGGAAGCUGAUCUCUACAGGCAAGUAGAGAAAUUAUGGCAGAUGGACUUACUACCCUGGCGUAACGAAAAGAUGUGCAUCAGAUCCAAGCAGGAUCAAGAGGCGGUGGAACUUCUGGAAAGGAAGACAAUAAGAGUUGAAGUGGAGGGUGUCAAACGAUAUGCAACCCCUCUCCUGCGUGUCAAGAACAUGCCUGAACUAAAAGCACCUAAAGAAGCCGUCUUAUCGCAGCUGAGGGCCACUGAAAGGAGACUGGCCAGAAAUCCACAGCAAGCAGCCGCUUAUACAACAGAGAUUGCAAAACUGGUACAAGCAGGAUAUGUUAACAAUUUACCUCAAGAUGCUGUGACAGACACAUCUGGCUCCUGGUACAUCCCACAUCACAUGGUGCAACACAAUGGGAAAAACAGGAUAGUUUUCAACUGCUCGUUCCAGUAUCAUGGACAAAACCUGAAUGAGCUUCUACUCCCAGGGCCAGUACUGGGGCCAUCCCUACUUGCUGUGUUACUCCGAUUCAGGGAACAUUCGGUGGCAGUCAGCAGCGACAUCCAGGGGAUGUUUCACCAAGUUAGACUGCUCCCAGAAGACAAACCACUCUUGCGCUUUCUCUGGAGAGAUCUUAACACACAGGAACUACCCAGUGUGUACGAAUGGCAGGUCCUCCCUUUCGGCACCACCUGUAGCCCCUGCUGCGCUGUCUUUGCACUCCAAAAACAUGCCCUUGAUCAUAGCCAGCCCGGAGAUGAUGUCCGUAAUUCUGUGCUGAAAUCCUUUUAUGUAGACAACUGCUUACAAAGCUUCACUUCAGCAGAAGAGGCAAAAUGCUUUGUGGACAGAAUCAGGAACCUGCUGGCAGAUGGAGGCUUUGAGUUGAGGCAGUGGUCCAGCAAUGCCCCUUCAACGAUAAGUCACCUGCCCCACAAUUCCAUAUCAGACAGUGCAGAACUCUGGAUUUCGCAAGGCCGAACGGACAUCCAUGAAUCGACAUUGGGGCUCCUCUGGAACCAUCGGUCUGACACAAUCUCCUACAAAUACCGUGUUAAGGACAGUUGUGAGACCACCAUGCGCAACAUAUAUAGAGUGCUGGCCAGCCAGUACGACCCGUUAGGUUACCUCAUCCCGUAUACCACUCGCGCCAAGAUCAUUGUACAACACCUGUGGGAUAAAAAACGGGACUGGGAUGAUCCACACUUGCCUGCAGAUCUGUUACAAACUUGGACUAAGUGGGAGGAGGAGCUACCAGCCCUACAAAAUAUCGUUCUUCCUCGGUGUUACUGUAGCCCCAUCAAAGACACAGCAACGAGCGUAAGAGACAUUCAUGUUUUCUGUGAUGCCUCCGAGCGUGCGUAUGGCUCCGUAGCAUAUCUUCGAACAGAGGACCAACAUGGGCAAACGGAGGUGGCUUUCCUAACAGCCAGAUCCCGUGUAGCACCAAGAAAACAACAAUCUAUUCCCCGACUGGAAUUAUGCGCUGCACUGACUGGAGCUCAACUUGCCAAAGUACUCCAAACCGAGUUGAAUCUACCCAUACGCCAAACAAUCUUGUGGACAGACUCAACCACUGUCCUAACAUGGUUACAAUCCGACUCAUGCCGGUUCAAAGUAUUUGUGGGGACUCGAGUCGCAGAGAUCCAGGAUCUCACAGAGAAAAAUAGCUGGCGAUAUGUACCCUCCACAAGCAAUCCAGCUGAUGACAUCACUCGGGGAAGGAGUCUUUGUGAGCUCGGCUCGGAAAGUCACUGGUACCGAGGACCACUCUUUCUGAAAGAUUCACCCAAUCUUUGGCCUGAAUGCCCCAGUUCAAAGGAACUAGACAGUAAUGAACUUCGUAAGGUUGGUACCUGCUCUCUAGUAUGCUUCACAUAUUCUGAUUUCAGUCAGUUCAAGACUCUCGAGGAGCUAAUCGAGUCCACAGCUCUUCAAGGGUCUACCGAUAGUAAUCUCACAGCUAGUGACUACAGAAAAGCUGAGAUUAGUGUUUUGCAGCAAGCACAGAAGGAAUGUUUCCCAUCAGACUUAGAGCAACUGAGGAAUGGUAAACCACUUGCGUGCAAUAGCCGACUAAGAGCACUCGCCCCAGAACUCGAUGGAGAAUCCCAAUUAAUCAGAGUCGGCGGACGUUUACGACAUAGUCCCUACCUGGAGCCCGACAACAUGCACCCCAUUGUACUGGAUCCAAGGCACCCCAUCACGAAACUUAUCAUCCAAAGUUGCGAUUCUAAACUUUGUCAUUCAGGUCCUGAGAGAGUGUUCGCUGAACUCCGCCGUAAAUACUGGGUUCUGCGAGGAAGAGAGGCCAUCAAGCGUUUGCAACGAGAGUGUGUGCAGUGUCAGAAAUGGAGGAAAAAACCAGAGGUACCUAAGAUGGCAGACCUUCCCCCAGCCAGACUGCGUCUUUUUAAGCCCGCCUUUUACUCCACUAGCGUGGACUGCUUCGGUCCUUAUACUAUCAGAACGGGUCGGCGCAGUGAGAAGAAAUGGGGAAUAAUAUUCAAAUGCCUCACCACCAGAGCAGUAUACAUCGACAUCCUCCACAGUCUGGAAACUGACUCCUUCCUUAUGGCCCUCAGGCGGUUCAUGGCUAGACGAGGAAAACCCCAUGAACUUUUGUCAGACCAAGGCACGAACUUCAGAGGAGGUGAGAGAGAGCUAAGGGAAGCUUUUACAGCUCUUGGCCCAGAUCUGCAGAGACAAUUGCCCAAACAGCAAAUCGAAUUCCAAUUUAAUCCACCUAAUUCACCACACUUUGGAGGCUGUUGGGAGCGAGAAUUUCGCUCUUUGAAAAAUGCACUGAUGGUCAAUCUAGGAACUCAAUCAGUAACCUUCGAGGUCCUUCACACCGUGCUGGUAGAAAUUGAGGGAAUUUUGAACUCCAAACCACUGGGAUAUACAUCAAGUAAUGCUUCCGAUCCUGACCCUAUUACCCCAAAUUGUCUCCUAAUGGGGCGGCCGGAUGCAUCACUCCCCCUGACAGUAUACCCGCAGUCGGAACUGAUCAGUCGGCGUCGAUGGCGCCACAGCCAAAUCCUUGCGGACCAAUUUUGGAGACAUUAUAUCAAAUUCUACCUCCCUGGUCUUCAAGGUCGUCAAAAAUGGCAAAAGGAUACUCCAGACAUCCAGGUUGGCACUACGGUGCUGAUUAUUGACCCGCAGCUACCCAGAGCUCUCUGGCCUGUGGGGAAGGUGUCGGAAGUAUACCCUGGAGCUGACACCAGAGUGAGGACAGCCAAAGUUCAGGUGGGAGAAAAGGCUUACACUAGACCAGUCGCACGCCUUAUACAAUUACCUGCUAUUCCUGAUUGA
ensembl:lncRNA